rnacentral:lncRNA from 1 species
UCCCUCAUUAAUUGAGGUGGCAGAUCAGAUGGAUGGAAACGCGUAUUCCACAUGUGCUUCAGUCAACUGUCCCACACACGUGGUAAUCAAAAGCAACGCCCAAGAUUAAAACAAUUCAAAUGGAUCCUAUGGUUGAGAUGUAUGACAUCACAUCUUCUUCUCUGGUGGACCUCACCGGACUGGUCCACCAUCAACAAUCACCAAAAUGAAAAAAA